UUAAAUCAAAUAUACUCAGUGUUCUUUGUUACUUCAGCUUUUGUACGUUCUAAAUAUCUGCUGUCAUUAAUUGCCACAGAAGUUAAACCCUACCCAAUGGAAUGACGUUAAACAACGACUUUGGUGCAGAGUUACCAACUGGAUAAUAUCAAAGCUAAACUAAUGGCCGUCGUUUCCACAUGUUACAGUAGAAGAUACUCUAGAACUGUACAAGGUUAAAAAGGUAACAUGUAGUUUGUCCCAAGGUGUCUGCCUCCUCACCCAGAGCAAGACCUCCACCUCCUCACCCAGAGCCAGACCUCCAUCUCCUGUCAGAAGUCCUCCAGAACAGCUGAAAGGCGAGGCUGAGAGGCUGGGGACCGGAGGCUUGUGGUGCCAGGGUGGACCGGAGACUGAGGCUGGAGACCAGGGGCCUGCAGCACUGGACCAGAGGACCAGGAAUCCAUGGCUGAAGGAGCUGAUGGAGGAGCCGUGCUGAAGGCCCUGGGCUGGUGGAGGAGCUGGUGGAGGGCCUGCCUGGUGAAUGACGUCAGUCGUGGGACCAGGACUCUGUCUGAGGAGAGCUGCUGGAGGAGCUGAGACGCUGGAGGACGACUAGGAAUCGACCAACAAGGAUUCCUCGUAAAACGUGUUUCUGGAGCGGAGGCGAGUUGGUAGGGGAGCCGUGAAUCUGGAGGAUGACCAUCACUCUACCAACAAAGAUUGUAAGUUUGUAUUAACCAAACAAACUGGAAAUAAAGGGCUUAAAAAUAAGACGCACUACAUGUUUGUUACCAGACUUUAGGGCCAGACUCGCGCUUUUUGUUCCAGACCAGGACUCGGGCUGAGGAGAGCUGAUGGAGGAGCCAAGACUCUGGAGGACGACAUCACUCCACUAACCAGGAUCCUCACCAGGAAUCUGGAGAACUGAUGGAGAAGCCAUACAUCUGGAAGGCAAAUCCUGAGGACCACCAGGACUCUACCAUCAAGGAUUCUUCAUAAAUGUGCAUUAUCUGGACAUAGUGGACUAGACACACCUGAGCUGAACCUCACCUGAUCCUGUUUGGUCGGGGGUAGACACACCUGAGCUAAACCCGCCCUGAUCCUGACAUCCUGCUGGUCCCGUCUCCUCAGUUCAUCUGAGCCUCGUCCUCCAGAAGACCUGCUGAGCUCAGCAGUCUGAGGCUGAUGGAUCAAUGACCUCCAGUGGGAGUGAUCCUCUUGACCCCACCUGUAACCGUGUGCUUCCACACGCCUUUCCCUCACGUCUGUCACUAACCACACUACUUCACUACUCUCUACUGCUUCCUCUUUUCUUCCUUGUCUGUGGUUCAAACCUUUACACUGAAGGCGCGUCUUCCUGCCCUCAGAGGGUUUAGCGUUAGGGUUGAGAGUCAGGGUUUAGAGUCAGGGACAGAGCUGGUCAGGGAGGACUGCUUUUACACAAACCUCUUCAUUUGCUUUCGGAAUGGUGGUGACAUUUUGAAAAGAUUCAUUUGGGAAAAUGUUUUCCUCUGCUUUCCUUUACAAAAUGUUAUUAAACUUCUGUCAAGUGUUUUUGUUUAUAUAUUAAAAUCCCACAUUGACUUCUACAUGUUUG